rnacentral:rRNA from 2 species
UACGUAGGUGGCAAGCGUUGUCCGGAUUUACUGGGCGUAAAGGGUGCGUAGGUGGAUAUUUAAGUCAGAUGUGAAAUCCCUGGGCUCAACCCAGGACCUGCAUUUGAAACUGGAUGUCUAGAGUGCGGGAGAGGUAAGUGGAAUUCCUAGUGUAGCGGUGAAAUGCGUAGAGAUUAGGAAGAACACCAGUGGCGAAGGCGACUUACUGGACCGUAACUGACACUGAGGCACGAAAGCGUGGGUAGCAAACAGG